GUGAAAAUGAUGUAAAUUUGUUUGUCUGAUUACAUUGAUGUAUUCAAAGGAACCACUGAUUCAC